rnacentral:rRNA from 1 species
UUGAACGCUGGCGGCAUGCCUUACACAUGCCAGUCGAACGGUAACAGGUUAAGCUGACGAGUGGCGAACGGGUGAGUAAUGUAUCGGAACGUGCCCAGUCGUGGGGGAUAACUGCUCGAAAGAGCAGCUAAUACCGCAUACGACCUGAGGGUGAAAGCGGGGGAUCGCAAGACCUCGCGCGAUUGGAGCGGCCGAUAUCAGAUUAGGUAGUUGGUGAGGUAAAGGCUCACCAAGCCGACGAUCUGUAGCUGGUCUGAGAGGACGACCAGCCACACUGGGACUGAGACACGGCCCAGACUCCUACGGGAGGCAGCAGUGGGGAAUUUUGGACAAUGGGCGCAAGCCUGAUCCAGCCAUGCCGCGUGCGGGAAGAAGGCCUUCGGGUUGUAAACCGCUUUUGUCAGGGAAGAAAAGGUUCUGGCUAAUACCUGGGGCUCAUGACGGUACCUGAAGAAUAAGCACCGGCUAACUACGUG